AGACCCGAAACCCGGUGAUCUAGCCAUGGGCAGGUUGAAGGUUGGGUAACACUAACUGGAGGACCGAACCGACUAAUGUUGAAAAAUUAGCGGAUGACCUGUGGCUGGGGGUGAAAGGCCAAUCAAACCGGGAGAUAGCUGGUUCUCCCCGAAAGCUAUUUAGGUAGCGCCUCGUGAAUUCAUCUCCGGGGGUAGAGCACUGUUUCGGCUAGGGGGCCAUCCCGGCUUACCAACCCGAUGCAAACUGCGAAUACCGGAGAAUGUUAUCACGGGAGACACACGGCGGGUGCUAACGUCCGUCGUGAAGAGGGAAACAACCCAGACCGCCAGCUAAGGUCCCAAAGUCAUGGUUAAGUGGGAAACGAUGUGGGAAGGCCCAGACAGCCAGGAUGUUGGCUUAGAAGCAGCCAUCAUUUAAAGAAAGCGUAAUAGCUCACUGGUCGAGUCGGCCUGCGCGGAAGAUGUAACGGGGCUAAACCAUGCACCGAAGCUGCGGCAGCGAACGUAUCACCCAAGACAACUUUACGGAGUUGACGAUUGACGGAGCGAAGCGACGUCAAAGCGUUCAUUAAAGUCGAGUUGGCUUAGGGAUACGUUCGUUGGGUAGGGGAGCGUUCUGUAAGCCUGUGAAGGUGUGUCGUGAGGCAUGCUGGAGGUAUCAGAAGUGCGAAUGCUGACAUAAGUAACGAUAAAGCGGGUGAAAAGCCCGCUCGCCGGAAGACCAAGGGUUCCUGUCCAACGUUAAUCGGGGCAGGGUGAGUCGACCCCUAAGGCGAGGCCGAAAGGCGUAGUCGAUGGGAAACGGGUUAAUAUUCCCGUACUUGGUGUUACUGCGAAGGGGGGACGGAGAAGGCUAUGUUGGCCGGGCGACGGUUGUCCCGGUUUAAGCGUGUAGGUGUGUGUUCCAGGUAAAUCCGGUUCACUUUAACACUGAGGCGUGAUG
rnacentral:rRNA from 2 species